AUUUCUCUUACUUCUCUUU
rnacentral:snRNA from 1 species